GAUGAACGCUGGCGGCGUGCUUAACACAUGCAAGUCGAACGAAGCACUUUAUUUGAUUUCCUUCGGGACUGAUUAUUUUGUGACUGAGUGGCGGACGGGUGAGUAACGCGUGGGUAACCUGCCUUGUACAGGGGGAUAACAGUUGGAAACGGCUGCUAAUACCGCAUAAGCGCCCAGCAUUGCUUGAUGCAGUGUGAAAAACUUCGGUGGUAUAAGAUGGACCCGCGUUGGAGUGGCUAGUUGGUGAGGUAACGCGCCACCAAGGCGACGAUCCAUAGCCGACAUGAGAGAGUGGCCGGCCACUUUGGGAGUGAGCCACGGCCCGAACUCCUACGGGAGGGAGCAGUGGGUAAUAUUGCACUAUGGGGGAAAGCAUGAUGGCGCUACGCCGCGUGAGCGAAGAAGUAGUUCGAGAUAUAAAGCUCUAUCAGCAGGGAAGAUAAUGACGGUACCUGACGAAGAAGCACCGGCUAAAUACGUG
rnacentral:rRNA from 1 species